CGGGGGGUGGCGCAGCCUGGUUUAGCGCGCUUGGUUUGGGACCAAGAGGUCGUGGGUUCGAAUCCCACCCUCCCGACCA
rnacentral:tRNA from 1 species